rnacentral:rRNA from 1 species
AUUGAACGCUGGCGGCAGGCCUAACACAUGCAAGUCGAGCGGAUGAAGGAAGCUUGCUUCCCGAUUCAGCGGCGGACGGGUGAGUAAUGCCUAGGAAUCUGCCUAUUAGUGGGGGAUAACUCGGGGAAACUCGGGCUAAUACCGCAUACGUCCUACGGGAGAAAGUGGGGGAUCUUCGGACCUCACGCUAAUAGAUGAGCCUAGGUCGGAUUAGCUAGUUGGUGAGGUAACGGCUCACCAAGGCGACGAUCCGUAGCUGGUCUGAGAGGAUGAUCAGCCACGCUGGAACUGAGACACGGUCCAGACUCCUACGGGAGGCAGCAGUGGGGAAUAUUGCGCAAUGGACGAAAGUCUGACGCAGCAACGCCGCGUGGGUGAAGAAGGCCUUCGGGUCGUAAAGCCCUGUCAGGUGGGAAGAAACCUGCGUAAGCAGCUGACGGUACCACCAAAGGAAGCACCGGCUAACUCCGUGCCAGCCGCCGCGGUAA